AUCCAUCAUCUGUUGAUGGGCAUCUAGGCUAGUUCUAUACCUGGGCUGCUGUGACCAGUGCAGCAGUAAGCCUGGGUAUCCAGGUGUCUCUGUGAU
rnacentral:miRNA from 1 species